AUGCUUUUCUCCCCCACACGGAAAAUGUUGCACAUGUUGAGAGACAGGCUUUUCCUUCUUAGCGAAUUCAAAUGCGUUUGGAGGUCAAGCUGAUUUAAACACCCAAAGAAGCACCUCUGCAUCUUUUCAUCCGAGAUGCUUCAAAUGAAUUUGCCCUGGAAGAAGGAAGGAAAGAAUAUGCAGUAAUGGAUGCUUGAAUGAAUGGACAUCACUCUGGUGCAAGACAGAUACUGUAAAUAUUACUCAGCUUUACAGAUGAGCAGUUCAUCCACAUCUGCUUUCAUGCCCACAUCCCGGAUGAGUGCACAUGCAGAAGGAAGAAAAGGAAUGGCAAUUUUACAUACUCCCUUCAUUACAGCAGGCAAUGGUCUGUUAGAGCAAGCCCCAAGUCAAAUAUGCAUCUCAAAGUCAUGCAUUUAAGACGCAUGAAGCAACAGACUCAGAAGGCAAGGAAGGGAAACAAAAGAUAUAUGGGAGCUCCUUUGUGCUUUGGAAAAAUAAUAGAAUUCUGGGAGCGUCUUUUUGGACCUAUGGCAUAGUAAAAAGAGUUAUCAUUUACUCUUUGGGGGAGUUGAGUAAGGUUCAUAUCUCUUCUGCUGCUAAUAUAAUAUCCUUUUACCAUUGAUCUAAUAUUCUUCUUGAGAUAUCAAAGAGACUCAGAUUAUAGGCUUUUGAAAAUUGUAUGAUGCCUUUUAAACAUUCUUUGCAGCCUUAA